UUCUCUGCUGUCCUCCCCGCCCGUCGCGGAGUCAGCUUGGUUACACUCGAUGAACCUGCACCGGUGAAGUCUCUGCAGCCCGCCGAUGUCCCCCAGGUUGGCCCCGGUGAUGUGCACACUGAGUUUGGCAAGCCUGAUACACAGUCAUUUUUCCCAUGAAGAUGCAUCUGACCCAGCGUUGGAAAGCACCCAGAAUCAGAAGCCUCUGCAGAGCUGGUUUUGAAGGAUACACUGUCUCCUUUUCCUGACUAUCUUGUUCCAACUUGUCCUGAAAAGCCAAAUAUUUCCUCCAGUUCGGAGCCAAGAAGCAGUACACACAUGUGGAUCCUUCUAAAAUUCCAAAGGGAAGAAAGGCUGUGAUUCAACUAUAAAUUUACAAAGAACUUGAGCGAAAAUAGAAGCCAGUGCUGUAAGAGGAACAGCUGAGAAGGGAAUGGGGCGAGAGGAGUAUUGAUUGAAGGGAAGUCAAUUUUGAACAGAAUAAUGAGGAAAGAAACGCAACGGUACGAUGAGAGGUGGGCCAUCACCCAGGAAUGGUGUGUGACCUCCUCGGAUGGUAAAGGCGUAUACUACAUCAGCCAGUUAACGAAUAGAUAAGUGAAAGGACGUGACACUAGGAGCUCUUCAUUCCCACUGUGAAGGAAGUCAAUAGCAUCACUGCCAAAUGGCUGCCUUGGCAGAAAAAUAGCAGGCUGACCCAACCAGUGCAGAUCCCGGAGGGGGUUUCUGUUUUACAUCGCCUCCUUGCAACUCCAAACCGCCAUCCUGAAAAGCCUUCCUGAAUUUCAGAGAGCAAGACGGA